rnacentral:lncRNA from 1 species
GCAGACUAUAUCUAUGACCAUAAGGAAUUGGAUAGUGAUCAAUCUUUAAUUCUGUUUAGCAAACAUGCGUUUCAAAAGGACUCACCUCUAAAGGAAUUUAAGGACCUCACUAAUGAAGUUGUAUCCAUCAUUAGAGGACUUCCCUUAUCCCUUGAGGUUUUAGGUAAAUUAUUGUGCGGAAAAAACCUAGCAUUCUGGAGAAGCACAAUAGACAAGUUAAAAAAAGCGCCUCCUAAGGAAGUGCAAGAAAGGUUAAGACCGAGCUAUGAAGCAUUAGAUUAUGAACAAAGACAAAUAUUUUUAGAUGUCGCUUGCUUUUUCAUUGGUACUGACAAGAGAAUCGCAUUUUAUAUGUGGGACGCCUGUGGCUUUUUCCCUGAGGAGGGAAUUGAAGCAUUGAAACUCAUGUCAUUAAUACAAAUUGGAGAUGAUCAUGAGCUCCUAAUGCAUAACCAACUAAGAGAUCUUGGUAGAGAAAUAGUUCGAGAGGAAAACCAACGGGAGCCUCAAAACCGUAGUAGGUUAUGGGACUCCGAGGAAGUUCAGAAAGUGCUAAAGGAAAAUAAGGUAAUCGUUUUAUUCUUUUGCUCUUGGUAAUCGUUUCAUUCUUUUGCUCUCUUGGUCCAUGUCUACCGGUAGAGUAAUAGUGUUGGUCCACUGCUUGCUGCUUGCUCUGGUGAAUAGAGAACCUUCUACCAUCAUUUGGCCUUGAAUGUGUCAUUGACGUGAUUAGAAAGUAGGAAGGUUGCUCUCUCUUAGUAACUAUUGUAGAGUUAUCUGAGAUUUAUCUUAAAAAGACUACCACUUAUUUGCAAUCUCAAUGUGGUACCGAUGUAUAAUCUCACGAGCCAAUUCAUAUAUUUACGAAUUCAAAGCCAAUGUCUAUUUAUUAGGUCUUUCGUACUAAAUGAAUUAAUAAACUAAACCAACCAAAAGAAAAAUGAAUAUGCUCUAUAUUUUAUGUACAAAUAAAAUGGUAUUUCUAAAUUUUGCAACUAAAAGGGUACAUUUUUAUAUAAUAUUUCAGUAAUUUUGCAUGAUUCACUCUUAAUUCAUGGUACUAUCAUAAAAAGAGCCCAUCCUUGCAUAUAGGACGGAAAUAACUUUACCUUUCAAACUCAUCCUUUCACUCAUGGGACCAAAAUGACACCCACCAUCAAUUCUGCGUAUUGUCAAUUUAAAUCGACCGGCAUCAUCCUGUAUAGCUCGUUAAUCAUGACCACAAAUGAAUUCUUCUUUUUUUUUUUCCUUUUUUUUAUAUAACAAAAAGCUAGAUAUUUUGUAAGAAAAGUUUAUUAACAAGAUUAUAAAAAAAAAACACAACAUCGUUUUUGGUGUGACUUGACAUGGCCUAGAAAGUACCUACAUUCUCUGAGAGCCUUUGUGUUGUGUCGGACACUUGUGUCCGACAUUCUCAGACACUCUUCAACACUCGGUUAACAUGUGUUGAAAAAUCCAAAACUUGAUUAACUUUUCUAAUACUUAAAAUUUUUCUUCGGCAUGUGAUUCCGACAUGCGAGGUCAAUUUUAAAAAUUUUCAAUAAAUAAUGGGUCAAAAUGUAUAUAUAUGAAAAUAACAAAAAAAUAAAAAUAAUAAAUGGGAAAAUAAAAAAAUCUAGUCUUCUUUUCUCUUUUGACUCUUACUUCUCAUGAUAUACAAUUCACCCCCUCAAGUUUUUUCUCCUCUUCUGGCACAUCUGAAACAUGAGUCAAAAAAUAUGAAUUGCUUGUUUUUUAUCCAAGUAUUAUGAAUUAUUGGAAUAUAGUUGAAUUUGUCAGAUUAAAACAAUGAAUGAUAUUAAUAUAUGAUCGAUUAAUGUUUUUAGUGUAAAUUUAUUCUAGACUUUUUACUAUUUAUUAUUUGUGAAUUUGAAUUAAAUUAAUUUGAUUGAAAUAAUCAUAAAAAUGAUAAUUUAUUAUAUAUACAAAUAAACAUUUAAUAUACAACAAGUUCCAAAGUGUCGGAAUUCUUUGCUUUUUGAGAAAUGACGUAUCGACAUAUUGUGUCACGUCGUGUUGCAUAUUGCGUGUCGGUAUUAGUGCUACUUAGGACAUGGUUUGAUGAAUACAUUAACACAGUGAGUAGUGUAGGGUAUCCAUGGCAAUUUAACGAUGAUAAUGGAUGAAAUUUGUAAUAGGCGUCGGCUUUGUUCUAUAGUUAAAUAGUUGGGCUAUUUUUAUUAACUUUGAAAAGUUAUUUUAGUUUUGUCGUAAAUGCCAAAAGUUUGGCUUUAUGGACGUUUGAAAGGUUUUGCUACUUUUGUUCCAAGUACAAAAUGUAGGGCUUAUUUUCAGAUGUGGCCAAACUAUAGCUAUCGAAAAAAAAAAAAAAUAAAGCGAAAAAAGUUACACACCUAUGAGCAUACUUGAUAUUUUGAGAGAGAAGUUUAUGGGGGAAAUGACUGACGUGAAUAGAUUACUUCUGUUGAAGAUUUUAUUUAUCUAUUUAUUUUUUAGUUAUUCUUCUCUUGGAUUCCUUUUAGAUGUUGAGAUUUGAUUCCUUGCCAAAUUAUUAUGUCGUCCACCUAUGAGCAUACAUGAAUACAUUAACAAAAUUUGAAACUGACAUGAUGAAAUCCACGAACUUUUUAUUUAUUUAUUACAUCUUGACUUGUCAUGCAUAAGUGUUUUUUUUUUUUUUGGGUGAAAUCUGGCGACACAUUUUCUAUUUCCAAUCUAUUCUGAUGAAGCAAUUAUUUCUUCAUUUUGUUCAAAAAUAGAUUAGAUAUUACUAUUCUCUCUAGUGGGGAAAAAGGAAAGGGGAGGGGCUUAGCCAAGAAUAGCUUCAACUUUCACAUUUCGAAAAUGCUUUGCACUUUCAGCAAUUAUUUCUUUUAAUAUACAUCGAAGUUAUUAGGGGCUGUUUGUUAUAUAUAUUAUACUUGAGUAUCUCAGUUAUUUAUGAUUAUGAUUAAAUAAAAUCGUAAUCUAUAGUUACACUAAAAUUAAUGAUAAUAUAAUAAGUUGUAGAGAAUAUUAAUAUAACUAAUAUUAUUUUCAUAUUUAAAUAUAAUUGGUAAAAUAAUUAAUUAACAAUAUUUCAAUUACUAUUAGUAAAAUAAUAAGUACGUAGUAUAUUAAUAUAACUGCUAUCACAAUAUUCAGUUUCUUGUAAUUAGUUAUUACUCCAAUGGAAAAUAAGAGUAUAUAUUAUUUUUUAUUAAUCACAUAAGUAGCAUAGUCGAGUAAUAUACAUUAAAUUAUUACGAAAUUUAUAGAGAGAAAAAAACAAAUAUAUAUAUAUAUAUAUAUAUAUAUAUAUUUCUAUUAAAAUUGAUCAAAUCAACUUAUGAUUUUGCACAAUGCAAUUUGAUUAAAUUCUGUGCAUUGCACGCAUGUCCUAACAUGUAUGGUAGCAAGUCAUAAAGUCUUUACUUUAUAAGCCAUUACAUCAUAAUUCUUUUUAAGAUCCGAAUGUGUAUGGCCAAAUCUCAAAAUGUUAAUACUAUGUAUUGAUGUUAAAAAAAUGAUGUCUUCACAUUGCUAGUCCCUUGAAUACAUUAAUGCAUGUCAACAGCAAUAUGAACAAAUAAUAUUAUAUUACUUUAGUGGGAUAGAGUACUAAUGAAUGUUGAUUCUUGCUUAUAGGGAACAGAAAAGAUUGAGGCGGUCAUCCUAAGUGAAGGCAACAUAGAAGGCUCUGGCAAAACACCUGAGCAAGAUGGCGACAUUUACGUAGAAAAACAAUUCAAGAAUUUGAAAAGUCUAAGAUUCCUUCAAGUGGAGGGGGCACAUCUUAGUGGAGAUUUUAAGGACUCAAUUGAGGGGUUAAGAUGGCUUCGAUGGCAAAAAUGUCCCAUGAAUUUUGAAGUAAACAAUUUUCAUGCAAAGGAAUUACUUGUACUCGAAUUGUCACAGAGCAUGAUAAAUGAGAAUGGGAAGGAUGGAGUUCUUUCAUGGUAAGACAUUCUUUUUUUUCCCUUUCAUGCUAUUUUUUAAUCAUAAUCACUCUAGGCUAACCCCUUGACAAUCAUUUUUCUUUACCAGAUGGCAAAGAAGCUCAAAUUUCUCGACCUUUACGCAUUGUCAUUCCUUAGAAAAUACGCAUUUCCUCUCAGGUUUUAAAAAUUUGGAGGUUCUGAUCCUCAAUCAUUGUUAUAGCCUGCAACAAAUUGACUCUUCAAUUGGAGACAUGGAGGCCCUCCUUCGCUUAAGUUUGUGUUGGUGUAGGAGUCUUAUGGAGCUUCCAGCAGAAAUAGGUAAAUUAAAAGCACUGGAGCAACUCCUUCUACGAGAUACUCAAAACCUUCAUGCAUUACCAGAUAGCAUAGGAUCAUUGCCGAAUCUAGAAAUUCUAAAUAUUUCUUUCAGUGGUAUAAAAGAAUUACCCAAUGGUAUUGGGAGGUUGAGAAAGCUCCAAAAUUUAGAAGCUAUAUAUUGCAGAAAUCUGAAAGGUGAAAUGCCCGAAAGCAUGUGUAAUCUUUCUUACUUGCAACGCCUCGAUUUUCUUGGCUGCGAGGAGCUCCAAUCCCUGCCAGACCUUCCUUCUAGCUUAACAUAUUUGAGCUUCACUUGUCAAAGUUGCAAAUUGCCUUCACUUUCCCACCUAACCCAUCUCAAGGAACUACAAGUUCAUGGAUGCAAAUUUCUAAAGUGCAUCCAAGAGCUUCCAUCAGCACCAACGGACAUUGAAGAAUCAGAAUUUCCACGAUCUCUAAACAAUCCCUUCAAGUUGGAAAUGUUGGAAGUCCAUCGCUGUGAAUCUAUUGAAAUAGUGGACGUUUCACAGUCUAUCCAUCUAAGGAUUUUAUCCAUUGACUAUUGCAAGAAUCUAUUUGAAGUUCGAGGUCUUGACAAAUCGAUAUAUUUGGAAAGCUUGACCAUUGCACACUGUGAUUCACUUGUGCUGUUGGACCUUCAAAUGUUCAAGCGUUUGAAGAUAUUGAAUGUUUGUGAUUGCAAUAACUUGGUUGAAAUUCAAGGUCUCAAUAGGUUGAAAUUCUUGGAAAGCUUGAAAAUCUCUCGAUGCACUUCAAUUGAAAGGCUACUCCUUCCAAAAUCUGGGAGUUUGAAGAUAUUAGAGGCUGAAUUGUGUAAGAAAUUAGCAAAAAUUCAAGGCCUUGAUGGGUUAGAGUUUUUAGAAAAGCUAGAUAUUGAAGGGUGCACUUCAAUUGAAAUGUUAGACCUUCCAAAAUCCGAGAGGUUGAAGGAAUUAGAAGCUGGAGGCUGCAAAAACUUAGUUGAAAUUCAAGGCCUCAUUAGGUUAGAGUUUUUAGAAAAGCUAUAUAUCAAAGGGUGCACUUCAAUUGAAAGGCUAUAUAUCCGAGGAUGCACUUCAAUUAAAAGGCUAGACCUUCCAAAAUCUGAGAGAAUGAUCGAAUUAAAUGCUGGAGGUUGCGAAAACUUAGCCAAAAUUCAAGGCCUUGAUGGGUUAGAUUUUUUGGAAAAGCUAUACAUCAAAGGGUGCACUUCAAUUGAAAUGUUAGACCUUCCAAAAUCCGGGAGGUUGAAAGAAUUAGAAGCUGGAGGCUGCAAAAACUUAGCUAAAAUUCAAGGCCUCAAUAGGUUGAAAUUUUUGGGAAAGUUAUAUAUCCAAGGGUGCACUUCAAUUGAAAGGCUAGACCUUUCAAAAUCCGGGAGACUAAAGGAAUUGGAAGCUGGAGGCUGCCAAAACUUAGUUGAAAUUCGAGGCCUCAAUAGUUUGGAGUUUUUGGAAAGACUAUAUAUCCAUGGGUGCGCUUUAAUUGAAAAGCUAGAUCUUCCAAAAUCUGGAAGGCUGAAGGAAUUAGAAGCUGGAGGUUGCCAAAACUUAGUCCAUAUUCAAGGCCUCAAUAGGUUGGAGUUUUUGGGAAAGCUAUAUAUCCCAGGGUGCAUUUCAAUUGAAAGUCUAGACCUUCCAAAAUCCGAGAGGCUGCAAGUUUUAGUUGCUGGAGGCUGCAUAAACUUAGCCGAAAUUCAAGGUCUCGAUAGGUUGGAGUUUUUGGAAAAGUUAUAUAUCCAAGGGUGCACUUCAAUUGAAAGGCUAAGCCUUUCGAAAUCCAGGAGGCUAAAAGAAUUAGAAGCUGGAGGCUGCAGAAACUUAGCCGAAAUUCAGGGUCUUAAUAGGUUGGAGUUUUUAGAAAAACUAUAUAUCCAGGGAUGCACUUUAAUUGAAAAUCUAGACCUUCCAAAGUUCGGGAGUUUGAAGGAUUUGCAAAUUGAAGGCUGUGACAACUUAGUCAGAAUUCAAAACCUCAAUUGGUUAGAGUUUUUGGAAAAGCUAAAUAUCAAAAGGUGCACUUCAAUUGAAAGGCUUUACCUUCCAAAAUUCGGGAGGUUGAAGGAAUUAGAAGCUGGAGGUUGCAAAAAUUUAGCCGAAAUUCAAGGCCUUGAUAGGUUAGAGUUUUUAGAGAAGCUAAAUAUUGAAUGGUGCACUUCAAUUGAAAGGCUAGAUCUUCCAAAAUCAAGGAGGCUGAAGGAAUUCAAAGCUGGAGGCUGCGGAAAAUUAGCUAAAAUUCAAGACCUCGAUAGGUUGGAGUUUUUGGAAAAGCUAAAUAUCGAAGGGUGCACUUCAAUUGAAAGGCUUUACCUUCCAAAAUUCGGGAGGCUGAAGGAAUUAGAAGCUAGAGGUUGCGAAAAUUUAGCCGAAAUUCAAGGCCUUGAUAGGUUAGAGUUUUUAGAGAAGCUAAAUAUGGAAGGGUGCACUUCAAUUGAAAGGCUAGACCUUCCGAAGUCUGGGAAUCUAAAAGAUUUACAAGCUGGAGGUUGCGAAAACUUAGUUGAAAUUCAAAACCCCAAUUGGUUAGAGUUUUUGGAAAAACGAAAUAUUGAAGGGUGCACUUCAAUUGAAAGGCUAGAAACUAACUCCACCAGAUCUAGUUCAUCUCCGACAGAAACAAAUAAUGACGCAUCUAGUUCGUCUCCGACAAAAGCUAUUAACGAUGCAUCUAGUUCGUUUCCAACAGAAACGAAUUCUAGUAGAUCUAGUUCGUUUUCGAUGGAAACUAGUAAUGAUGUAUCAAGUUUGUCUCCUAUAGAAACUAAUUUCGCUGGAUCUAGUUUUUUGACUGCGUCAAUUGGAAAUUGCUACGAGGUGUUUUUGAGUUUCAAAGGCCCAUAUACUCGAGAAGGCUUCAUCGAUCAUCUCUACAAUGGGCUCCUCAAUGCAGGAAUUGAUGUUUUCAGAGAUGAUGACGAGCUCUACGAAGGCAAGGACAUCAGACCAAAGCUUAUGACAGCCAUCACGAAUAGUGAGAUCCUGAUCCCAAUUCUCUCUGUGAGUUAUGGAACAAGCAGUUGGUGCCUCGAUGAACUGGUCCAAAUAAUGGAGGGCAAGAAUAAUAACGGGCAAAUAGUGUUGCCUAUAUUCUAUAAAGUUAAACCAGCUGAAGUGAAAGAUCAAAUUGGGAAUUUUGGAGACGCAUUCCGUGAGUGUGAGAAGCGUUUGCUUGAGAGGAGUUUCGACCCAACAAUUUUGGAGAAAUGGAAGAAAUCACUCCUUGAAGUCGGCAACUUGAAAGGAUACGAAGCCAAAGGGUAAAAUUUUUCACCAAAACAUUCUCUACUUUCUUUUAAUAUGUGUGGCUGUUUACUGGUUGUUUUGAUUCUCACCUGCUUCAUCUUCGUCCUUUGUUUUUUAUAUAAAAAAACAGUAAGAUCUUGACGGCAAUAAGAUUCAGCGAUGCAUGAGUUCUACAAGUUAUUCUUUUUUUUUUAGAUUACUGCUUUAAUGAUGUUGACCAAUCUAAUAAUAGAGUAUAUUGUUAUGAUCCCAUUCUCCUAUAUAAUAAGAAGUUUUGAAUGAAUUUUUACUCAUAUAUACAAAAAUCUUGUAAAUUGUGCCAUUUUUAUAUCACGUCAUAGUUUACGCUCCAUUAAUCUUUGUGAUUAUUUUUCUAAUUACAUAUUUAUUUGAGAUUAAUAGUACAACUUGUUAGUGAUUUUUAUUUAUUGCUCAUAACAUCAAUACCGUGCGCCGUGACUGUCCAAGCCAUAAUUCUUUAUCUUCCCAAGUAGCAUUUAUUAAAUCAUUAAUAUUGUUGAUUAGUUGCUAUUGUAGUUAUUUUACAACAGAGAGUUUCAAUGGUUAGAUAUGAUGAAAGAAAAAGAAAAAGAAAAAAAGAAUUAUUUUUCUUAUAUUAUUUUCAAUGAAUUUCCCAUCUUCAAAAAGUAAUUUCUAUUGCAUAUGCAUAUAUUGAAGCAAAGUUCUUAUUUUGGGUAAAAAUUAUUCUUCUACUUUCCUAUAAAAUCAAUAUUAGAUCAAUUGAAAUCAUAGAACGUAAGGGCUCCAAAGGAAAAUAAAGUACAACUUGUAAUCAUCCCUAGAGGCAAAAAAGCAGGUAAGAACACCAAUAUAGAAUGAUACUAAAUUCACAACCUGAGUAGAAACUUGCAAGCUUGUAGAUUGCACAAACAAGAAGAAAUCCCCUCAAUUGCAUUUAGGUAGUUCAAAAUAUCACACUGUAUGACUUUUUAGAUUAGAAUUAAAGGGCCUGAAAUCCUCUUGCGUCGAAAGUUAUGAUAUCUACUGAUUGAUGGCUGACUCUCAUAAUGGGCUGGCUUAUUGGGUUUUUACUUAUUCAAACACUCUAGAAAAUUUUCAAAGUCACGUAUGCAUCAUCCCGUAGUAUCGUUAACUAAUAACAAAUUUAAUAUAUUAUUCAAAUCCAUGAUAUGUCCAAUAUAUAAGAUUCAUAAGCAUACCCUCAAGUUUCUUCUGGCUUAAUAAACUAUGUUGGAGUAAUAGUUGGAUGGGGCACUCCAUGUGAAGCAAACACCGACAUUUCCCACUUUAGUCUUAGCAUAUACAUGGAGGUAUGACAAAAAAGAUUCUUAAAUUUUUUCUGUUUAUCCCCAGAUUUAUAUAUUCUGUGUUCUCAACAGAUAAACAAUUUAGGAUUACUGUGGUCACAUAUUUCAACUCUUGUCACAUUUGAUAGGUAUGAAGCCGAGUUGGUGAAUUUGAUUGUCCAAAAAGUGUGGAGUGAACUGAAGAAAAAGUUUGAAUUGGUUAUUUCCGAGAAUUUGGUCGGAAUUGAUAGUCAUGUGAAGACGGUUAUGGAAUUUGUGGAUAAUAAAUCUCAUGCCACCCUAUUUGUUGGUAUCUAUGGAAUGGGAGGCAUUGGUAAGACUACACUUGCUAAAACUAUCUACAACAAGCUCUCCAAUCAAUUUGAGUAUUGUAGCUUUAUUGCUGAUAUAAGGGAAUCAUGGAAGCAUUAUGACGUACAUUACUUACAGAAUCAGUUGAUCUAUGAUAUAUUGAAGCGAAAAAAUGAAGUUCAUAAUGAGGAUGAAAGGACUAAGUUCAUGGCCUCCAAGUUUAAAGGUAAAAAGGUCCUCAUUCUACUUGAUGAUGUGGAUAAUGUCAUUUCAGUGGAAGGUUUGAUUGGUAAUCGUGAUUGGUUUUCUUUGGGAAGUAGAAUCAUUAUUACCACUAGAAACCAAGAGGAUUCUUGAAGAAGUCGGGGCAGACUAUAUCUAUGACCCAUAAGGAAUUGGAUAGUGAUCAAUCUUUAAUUCUGUUUAGCAAACAUGCGUUUCAAAAGGACUCACCUCUAAAGGAAUUUAAGGACCUCACUCAUGAAGUUGUAUCCAUCACCAAAGGACUUCCCUUAUCCCUUGAGGUUUUAGGUAUAUUAUUGUGCGGAAAAAACCUAGCAUUCUGGAGAGGCACAAUAGACAAGUUAAAAAA